AGGAUGAACGCUGGCGGCGUGCCUAAUACAUGCAAGUCGAGCGGUAAGGCCUCUUCGGAGGUACACGAGCGGCGGACGGCUGAGUAACACGUAGGAACGUACCCCAAAGUGAGGCAUAAGCACCAGAAAUGGUGUCUAAUACCGCAUGUGCUCUUAGGAGUAAAGCUCCGGCGCUUUGGGAAGAGCCUGUGUAUGAUUAGCUUGUUGGUAAGGUAAAAGCUUACCAAGGCGACGAUCAUUAGCUGGUCUGAGAGGAUGAUCAGCCAGACUGGGACUGAGAACGGCCCAGACUCCUACGGGCGGCAGC
rnacentral:rRNA from 1 species